AUGGCUUCUCCACCAUUUGGGUAAGAUCGAGAGAAAUGUAGCUACCAUCUUAUCAGUGUAAUAUCUGACACAUCUCUAUCUGAGGAUAGUAUAUUGAGUGGACUUUUGGAUCAAAGAGAUGGAAUAGGAGCUUGCUCCAUCCACUUCUUGUAUCAACCUGGUAUUGCAGUACCUCCAGGAACAGUGCACCCCCU
ensembl:snRNA U2 U2 spliceosomal RNA